rnacentral:rRNA from 1 species
CCUACGGGUGGCAGCAGUGAGGAAUAUUGGUCAAUGGACGAGAGUCUGAACCAGCCAAGUAGCGUGAAGGAUGACUGCCCUAUGGGUUGUAAACUUCUUUUAUAUGGGAAUAAAAUGUUCCACGUGUGGGAUUUUGUAUGUACCAUAUGAAUAAGGAUCGGCUAACUCCGUGCCAGCAGCCGCGGUAAUACGGAGGAUCCGAGCGUUAUCCGGAUUUAUUGGGUUUAAAGGGAGCGUAGGUGGAUUGUUAAGUCAGUUGUGAAAGUUUGCGGCUCAACCGUAAAAUUGCAGUUGAAACUGGCAGUCUUGAGUACAGUAGAGGUGGGCGGAAUUCGUGGGGUAGAGGUGAAAUGCUUAGAUAUCACGAAGAACUCCGAUUGCGAAGGCAGUUCACUGGACUGCAACUGACACUGAGGCUCGAAAGUGUGGGUAUCAAACAGGAUUAGAUACCCCAGUAGUC